CCACAUGGCCAAAAUGACACGUUUCCACAAACCCACCCAACACACAGUCUAUGCAAGCAUUGGACAGUGUAGGAGCCAGAACACAUCCCAGAUGAACACCAGUUUUCACUGGAAAAGU